UGCUGCUGCAAGGCAGGUUUGGGAGGCAGAUGAUGGCACAGAGGGGAGGGCACUGCAAAGCAUCUCCCAUCAAACCUUCCUCUUCAAACAGUAAACCUUAAAGGGGCCGUUGUGAUCACCAUCUGACCUUCUAACACACACCAGAGAAUUUCACCCUGCAAUUCCACCAUCGGAUCCUGUGACUAACAGGUGAAUUGGACCAAACUAAAUACAACUGCACAAUGCCACAUUCCUUUACAUCCAUCACUUUCCUCAGUGACUUGUUCAAAUGACUAAAGACUGCCCCAGCAGCAACCUGUACUUCUUUUUCCAUUUGACAUUAUCUGGUUUCAGCUUCCAAUCACAGACUCUUGUCAUGGCUUGUCUGCUAGAUUAAAGAACUUUAUCCUGCCAGAAAUCUUCUCUUGAGGACCUCCUGGUGUCUUCAUCUGAACCCCAUGCUGUUGCCUGAGAAACCAAAAUGCACAAGUCACAUGAUAUUGCCAUCAACCACCAUGUCUGGAGACUCCCAAAACAAGAGCAAGUAUCUCCAGCCAAUUUAUACAGCCCAAUUUAAAAGCAGUAUUGUGACAGUAAACACGUAUCUCGCUCCUACUGUGCUCACAGUGCACACAAAUGAUAAAUAGAUGAGAAGUCCAGAAACAGAAGCAACUGGAAUAUUAACACAGGACAGACUUUAAUUUACAUGUAAAUGCAACUUCUGAUCAUUAUUCAACUGGAAGGUCCAAGACAAGCCCCACACACUUUCUAUUCAAAGAGAACAGUGCUGUAUAAAACCACCAGCUUUCAUCACCAAAAUUAAAACCUUCCCUACAGCAAGGCCCAGUAGUUCUGCAAAAUCUGUUGGUCUCCUUAAAUUUACCCACAAGAUUAUCAUCUUUCAAGUAAUCCUGCAGCAAAGUAAGCUGGAUAAAACAACUGGGAGCUGACAGUUGAAACUUGGAGAGACUGGAAGCAGGCGAGAAGGCUGGAUGGUGAUUUGUGACGCCAGACAAGUUGAGUCAGAUCCUGAGAGGGAGUAAAAUGCAUUAAGGCUGAGGGCACUAUUAACUGGGGGCUGAGAGCACGUGGGAUCCCUAUUGGCUCUAACUGACUGCUUUGGAGCAAAGGGGCCCCUUCCUUCACAAGAAAAGUCAAGACCAGCAAAGCUGCCUUAGAGAGAACUUUCAGAUUUAAAAUAUUCAGCAACAUACCCAACCAUUCAGUGUCCUCUGCAAUUUUCCUCCCUUCAGCACCUUU